GAUGAACGCUGGCGGCGUGCCUAAUACAUGCAAGCCGAGCGAAUGGAUUGAGAGCUUGCUCUUAUGAAGUUAGCGGCGGACGGGUGAGUAACACGUGGGUAACCUGCCCAUAAGACUGGGAUAACUCCGGGAAACCGGGGCUAAUACCGGAUAACAUUUUGAACCGCAUGGUUCGAAAUUGAAAGGCGGCUUCGGCUGUCACUUAUGGAUGGACCCGCGUCGCAUUAGCUAGUUGGUGAGGUAACGGCUCACCGAGGCAACGAUGCGUAGCCGACCUGAGAGGGUGAUAGGGCACACUGGGACUGAGACACGGCCCAGACUCCUACGGGAGGCAGCAGUAGGGAAUCUUCCGCAAUGGACGAAAGUCUGACGGAGCAACGCCGCGUGAGUGAUGAAGGCUUUCGGGUCGUAAAACUCUGUUGUUAGGGAAGAACAAGUGCUAGUUGAAUAAGCUGGCACCUUGACGGUACCUAACCAGAAAGCCACGGCUAACUACGUGCCAGCCGCCGCGGUAA
rnacentral:rRNA from 1 species